rnacentral:lncRNA from 1 species
ACUCUGAUUUUCACAAGACUCACCAGUGCAUUUAGCAUCCCUCAGAAGAAGUAAUUGAUGAGCUUAAGAUCUGGAGAGUGCACAGCCAAUUCCACGUGGCCAUAUCACCCAAUCCAUCUUUGAAAAUUAAUCAUCAAACCAGUCCCUCUGCAUUCUGGCAUAAUGGGGUCACAUACAAUCCCAAUAUACAAUCACGUACAAUCUCACUUUGGGUGACCUUCCCCUACCCUGUCAAGUGCAGGUAUUAAUUGAUUAUAAAACAUGCUCACAUAAAGUAAAUAUUUACUCAUGUUUCCCAACUUUAUAGCCACCCUGUACAUUUGUAACUGGUUUGUCUUCCUCACUAGAAUGUACACUCCAUGAGGGAGCAGGAUUUGUCUAUCUUGUUCAUUGAUGAAUAAAUCCUUAGCAGCUAGGAGUCUGUAUUUAGAUAAUAUGUUCUCCAUUUUUAAAUGCAUGAUUGAAAUCUGGGAAAGUGAGGACAGGAGGGGAUGAAGAAUAAAUGAUCUUGAAUGGGAUUGUUAUCAAACUGAAGGAAAUAAAAGGAUAGUUUGAACUGAAUCAUAAGAAAGAACUGUCUAUCAAGGUAUAGUUAGAGCAGUUCUUAAGGAGAAGUUUAUCAUCUUACAUGCAUACAACUGAAAAGAAUACAAGAAAAAAUUAAUAAUGAA